GAUGAACGCUGGCGGCGUGCCUAAUACAUGCAAGUCGAGCGAACAGACGAGGAGCUUGCUCCUCUGACGUUAGCGGCGGACGGGUGAGUAACACGUGGAUAACCUACCUAUAAGACUGGGAUAACUUCGGGAAACCGGAGCUAAUACCGGAUAAUAUAUUGAACCGCAUGGUUCAAUAGUGAAAGACGGUUUUGCUGUCACUUAUAGAUGGAUCCGCGCCGCAUUAGCUAGUUGGUAAGGUAACGGCUUACCAAGGCAACGAUGCGUAGCCGACCCGAAGGGGUGAAUCGCCAGCCUGGAACUGAGACACGGUCCAGACUCCUACGGGGGGCAGCAGCAGGGAAUCUUCCGCAAUGGGCGAAAGCUUGACGGAGCAACGCCGCGUGAGUGAUGAAGGUCUUCGGAUCGUAAAGCUCUGUUAGUAGGGAAGAACAAAUGUUUAAGUAACUAUGAACAUCUUGACGGUACCUAAUCAGAAAGCCACGGCUAACUACGUG
rnacentral:rRNA from 1 species